UACGUAGGGCGCAAGCGUUGUCCGGAAUUAUUGGGCGUAAAGAGCUCGUAGGCGGUCUGUCGCGUCGGAUGUGAAAGCCCGGGGCUUAACCCGGGUCUGCAUUCGAUACGGGCAGACUAGAGUGUGGUAGGGGAGAUCGGAAUUCCUGGUGUAGCGGUGAAAUGCGCAGAUAUCAGGAGGAACACCGGUGGCGAAGGCGGAUCUCUGGGCCAUUACUGACGCUGAGGAGCGAAAGCGUGGGGAGCGAACAGG
rnacentral:rRNA from 1 species